rnacentral:rRNA from 1 species
CCUACGGGAGGCAGCAGUCGGGAAUUUUGGGCAAUGGGCGAAAGCCUGACCCAGCAACGCCGCGUGAAGGAUGAAAUCCCUCGGGAUGUAAACUUCGCAAGAACGGGAAGAAUAAGUAGGGGACAAUACCCCCUAUGAUGACGGUACCGUUUGUAAGCUCCGGCUAACUCCGUGCCAGCAGCCGCGGUAAUACGGGGGGAGCAAGCGUUGUUCGGAUUUACUGGGCGUAAAGGGCGCGUAGGCGGCCACCGCAAGUCAAUUGUGAAAUCUCCGGGCUUAACUCGGAAAGGUCAACUGAUACUGCGGGGCUAGAGUGCGGAAGGGGCAACUGGAAUUCUCGGUGUAGCGGUGAAAUGCGUAGAUAUCGAGAGGAACACCUGCGGCGAAGGCGGGUUGCUGGGCCGACACUGACGCUGAGGCGCGAAAGCCAGGGGAGCGAACGGGAUUAGAUACCCCGGUAGUCCUGGCCUUAAACGAUGAAUGCUUGGUGUCUGGGGUUAUAAAGUCCCCGGGUGCCGUCGCUAACGCUUUAAGCAUUCCGCCUGGGGAGUACGGUCGCAAGACUGAAACUCAAAGGAAUUGACGG